UCCAUUCUAAUCAUCCUACUUGUCCACUUGAUCGUAUUCCAUCUCAUCUCCUUCAAGACAUUUCUUCAGCUGUACCUGCACUCACAUCAUUAACACAUCCCUUCAUCCCUGGCUAAAUUCGCCCAUUGGCCUCUGACCAUCAUGGCCUCCUAACAAUCCCCAAAUCUGCUGAUUGGCUUCAUCACUCUGUCUCCUCUCCCCCAGUAAGCUGGUGUGUGGUGGGCGUUCUGGCACACUAUGGCUGCCGUCGCAUCAUACCCACACCACACAGUGGUGGAAGCAAUACAGUUGGCUAAACAGCACACUCCAGGUGGACACACUUUAAAAAAACAAAAACAAACAAAACACACAUAUACUACAAAUCCUGCUUUAAAAGUUUCCAACCCUAAAAGACAUGGUUACCUGGUACAAAACUUCAAGACACAUUCAAAAAUACAAAAUUCUCACUUUCAUACCACAAAAAAAACCAAUCUACUUCAAAACGAGUCCACACGCAGUUGACAACUACUUGUACAAUCAAAGAAAAACAAAGAAAAACAAAAUAAGAGCAGUUGUAUGCACCUACGGGAGGAACAAAAUGGCCGACCAAGGCCAAGUAUCACUUGCCUCCCAGCUAACGCGCACACAAGUUAAUAAAUGGCUGCUCAUGAAUUAAUAGAAAACAAGAGAACUCAUACAAAACAGUCAAAAGUUAAAACAGUCACCCAACAAACACUAAAAACAAAGCAGCAGUGUAGUCACAUCACUGAUGUACAUUUGUCUCCAACCAAGUUACUGGAAACUCCUGGAUGUGCAGUAACACCUGAACAUAAAACGAUUAUCUACAUUACACUCAUAAAAACACAUGACAAACUCCCAUCAUACAUACAAAGACAGAUUUACGAUGUAGCAAAAUGCAUGGUCGCUCACCACGCAAGAACAUGCCAUUAGCAUGCUGAUGACCAAAAGACAAAUAAGCCACUUUAAAAAAAAAAAAAAAAAAAAAAAACCUUUUUCAGAAUAGGGAAACUAACCUGAAAAAGGCCUAAUUGCUAAUACUCAACAGGAAGAUGCACCAAGCCCUAUCCUUUGUUCAUAAUGACGUACUUACAAAAAGGUCUAUUACCAAGGAUGAUGCAUCGUGAGUAAUCAAACCCUUCCCUUUUAUAGUAUCAAUGCCAACACUGAAAGGUUCAUAGGAUUUAAAUCAUGUUAACCAAUCACAAAGGAGUAGGGACACUGAUAGGUUCACAGGCUGGCAUGACACCAGCCAAUCAUACCUGGGCUAUACCUUACCCAGCUAUUUUAGCAUCAGGUAACAAAAUGUUUCAAAUAGGUUAUUAUAAUUUUGUAAUUCAUAAUUAUUGAUCAUAUUCUUUUUAAUUUUAAGCAAAAACUUCCUGUAUUCUGAUUUUGCUGUAAAUUUUUAAAAGCAAAUUGUUUUGUUUGACUGAUAGGGAUUUGGGGCGAAAUCCACCAGUCUCAAGCAGCAGUGGACAGUUUCUGUACAGUUAAAAUAAAUAGAAGCAGAUGUAGUUCGGUAGCCUCGUG
ensembl:lncRNA